GUCUCUAAAAAAAAUUUUUUUUAGUUUAAUUUUAAAAUAAAAAAUGAAACACAAGCAAUGUUAUAAUCAAUAUUCAAUAGAGGCACCGCAAAACAUUUUUAAAUGAUAAAAAUCUUCAUUUAAUUCAAAUUAGGUUGCCUUAAAUAUUUCUAGUUAAUACAUUUUUUUCUCCAUUUACCCCAAAUUUUCAUUCCACCAUCUCUAAGUGAAUGAAGGAAAGGUAAUUCUGUUGUGGCACAUUUUAGAAAUUACACUGUUAUUGAAGGUAAGAAAUGCAGUAACUUUAGUUAUACCAAGAGAAAAGUUAUGAUUACAUGAGAAAGGCCAAAUGGCUUACAGUUCACUUGCAGAAGCCAGUAGAAUGCCAAAAUAGAAAUGUGUUUCAUUGGAAAUCUCCUUAAACAAAAUCAUGAAAAGGAACAAUUCAUAUUUUAAUGGAUUCUACAAAACAAAUUACUUUGAAAGAAGUAUUAAUAUCAUAUAAUUGUGCCUAUAACAAUAUUAGAUUAAAUGGCAAAAACACACUAGCUGAAGCCACUUUGAAGAUAGAACCUAUAGACAAUGAGCAGAAACAAAAAUCAAGACUGUGGCUAAUUGUUUUAAGAGACAAGAGCUAAAGAGUAGAGAAGAGUACUUUGCAAGGGGAUAAUUAGACCUGUGGGAGUCAGAAUCCAAUCUUGUUAACGGUAUGAGGCUUUUUGUUCUUUUCCACAAUCAAUUAUUUAAGCCUAUUUCAGGAAUUUACACAAUGAAUGCAGUCAAGGUACAGAGAUUUUGGAGGACAUGAAAUUGUCCAGAGAUGCACUGAGAGUAAUUUAGUCUACACUGGAAAGUUUCCAAUGUGUAAGUACUUGUAGAAGUUCUAAAAUGGAUUAUUUUGUUCCAACUAAAAUCUCUUGGGAAGACUUACACACUUUAGUGACUCUCAGGACUGACAGAGCCUAGCAAAUAAUCUGGAGACAUUUGAUACACUAUAUAUCCAUCAAAUAUUGGAAACCAAACACAAAAAUAACAACUAUCUAUUAAGCACCUAUAAUAUACCAAACACUCUGUUAGGAGAUAUAUAUAUAUGUAUGUGUGUGUGUGUGUGUAUAUAUAUAUUUGGAGAGAGAGAGAGUCUCAUUUAAUCAAGGAAAGCUUUGAAAGCCUUUUAUAAAAAUGGGGACUUCGUGACUCUGAGGGCUUAAAUAACUUCCUGAGGUCACUCAGUGGAUUAGUGGAAGGCUGAAGAUUAAUAAAAUGCUCAGAUUUUACUCUCUCAACCUCCUCUUUGUAGAUUCACAUGAUAAUGAAAUUAGCUCUAAUGAUUCCAGUAUUUCAGUCAUGUUUGGAGGUAAACUUUACACCAUUUCUUGUUUUUUUCUGGUCACAAGAUACUAUGAAUUAUUAGUGUCUCCUCCAAAUUCUUAUGUUGAAGCCCUAAUUCCCAAUGUGGUGGUGUUAGAAGAUGGGCCCUUGUGAGGUAAUUAGUUUUAGAUGAGGUCAUGAGUUUGGAGAUUCUAUGAUUGGAUUAACACCACUAUAAGGGGAGGAUGAGACUUGAUCUCUCUCUCUUCCCCAUGUGAGGAUACAGCAAGAAGAUGGACAAGAAGAAAACCAAGUUUUGGUUGGCCAUCUAAAAAACAAAAAGAGGGCUCUGUCACCAGGAAUUGAAUAGCAGCAGUUUGUUAUGGACUUCCUAGCCUUCAGAACUCAAUGUGCUGGAGGAGCCAGCUUAUACCUACUUGCAGGAACCAACUGAGAAAUUAUCAAGAAUUUUCUAGUGGCACACAGAAGCCAGAGGGCAAGGAAGCCUGGAGUGUACUGUGGAUAGUGGUCAUCUUCCUGGGGGACAAAGGAAGACAGAGAAUACGGAGAACGGAUCUGGGCAACAAAUGAAAAAUAACCAGUGCAGGAUAUUAGGAUGGCAGUUUGCAUCCUGGAUGUCUGUGUAUGUCCGUACAUACAGGCUUGAAAAAGAAGGUUCUACUAUUUUUGAGAACUCUGCUAUAUUUCAUAGUGGUAAGCUGAUAAGUUUCUAAGUAAAAACAUAAACCUAGAUCUAUCAUGUUAAUAUGGAAUCAUUUCCCAGGUACAUUGUUAAGUGAAAAAAACUGAAGAUAUGGAGCAGUGUCUAAAUGUCUUAUUUGUGUAAAAAAUAUACAUAUUAUACUUAUUUAUAUGUGAAUAGACUACUUUUACAGGAAUAUGCAAAAAAACGAUAUUUGCUUGAGGGAAGAUGCUAGUGAAUUUGGAGAUCUGGAAAGGAGUAAAACUGGCCAUUUUAAACCUCACUUAAUUGUUAUUUCAAUUUUAGAAACUAAGUUAAUAGAAAAUAGACAAAUUCUCUCACUAACUAGCAGAAAGCUUCUUUAGUUAAUGAUUAUGCAUUAUUUGCCAUACAUUUAGGCAAUGCAAUAUCUAACAUGUAUACUGUAUUAAACAGCUUGACUAUGUUUGCUUAGGUCUAACUCCUGGCCCACAAUUUUUUAGCUUUAUGAAGUUGGUCAAGUUACUUGGCCUGUCACUGCCUCAGUUUUGUCUUCUAUUUAAUGGCGAAAAUAAUAAAAUUGAUUUAAAAAUUAAAUAAGCUAAUCCAUAUAAAAUGCGUUACACAGUACCUGACACAUGGAAAAAUCUUAAUGAACGUUAAGUCUAAUCGUUAUUUCAAACUUGCUGAUAAUUUUCCAGUUCCUAGAUUUCAAACACAUGCAUGUACUUGAAAUCUCAAAAAUGGUCACUAAUUAAAGUGGACAGAAAAUUUUAAUACAUUAUAGGACACUAUUAUUUGAUAAUUCUUACAGAUUCACUUUCAAAACUUCUUUGGUCAGGCAUAUUUUGAAGAUGACAGAACCAGACCGAAAUAUCAGAAUAAGAUCAAUAUUGUUGUCUUACAUAAAUGUUUGUUCCUCAGGCUAUAUACCCUCUGAUGUGCACCUGCACAGAAACAUUACAUUUCACAGUUUGCCAAAUAUUUCAUGAGUAUUAGGAAGUGCAUCCUGUAAGCAAGAAAAUUAAAUAUGCACUUGGUUUAUGAAAUCAUAUUGUUAUUCCAUUUGAAAUAACAAGUGAAUGAAAUCCUUCGGUAAUACCAGUUGAGAGAAAGCUUGGCUUCCAGAUAAUUCUAAUUUAUUAUUUUACAAGGACAAAUAUGAUUAAUUAUCAAACAGACAAAAAUACCAGCCUUCACUGAUGACCAUAAUUUCUCCCCAAAGGUCUGAUUUACAUUUGAAGCCAAAUUGUAACAGAAUGUUCAGUUUAUAAAGUAUUUCUUCUGAGCCCAGGGAGUUGGGUGAUUUUUAGCCACAUGACAACCCUCUUCUUGGUGGAGAACGUACUUUGACUUUCCUUGACUGUUAAACAGAGCUAGCAAUCUAUGGAUCAAAUUUUAUUCCAGGGUUUUUGUUGUUGUUGUUUUACCAUUUAGCUUUAGUUAAAACUUAUUUUUUGCACAUGGUAAUGACAUUUACUUUGCUUCAGGUGAGUCAUGCUGAUAAGCUCAGAUAUUUCCUAUUAUUACUUGAAUAUCUAGAUAAAUGUUUUAAUAAACUACAUGUUUCUUAAAUACCUCUCUAGUAGUUUACUAUUGCUGCCUCACAAAUUUCCAUAAACACAGUGGCUGAAAACAACGCAAAUUUAUUAUCUCACAGUUUUCUUGCUAUAGGAACCAAGGUAUGGGAUAACUGGAGCUUUUGCUCAGGGUUUCACCAGGUUAAAAUCAAGGUUUGUGUUGGGCCUGCAAUCUCAUCUGAGAUCCAGGGAAACUGUCUUCCAAGCUCACUGGUUGUUGGCAGAAUUCAUUUGCUUACGGUUGUAGGACUGAGGCCCUCAGCUCCCAAAGGCCGACCGUUACCAGCCGUGAGGCUUUCUGCACAAGAUGGUGGUUUGAUUCUUCCAGGCCAUCAGGGGAGCAUCUGCUACUGCCUGGAAUCUCUCUCUCUGGUCUGUUACAGCCAAGUUUUAUGUAACUUAAUCUAAACAAAGGACUGGCUACCCUGUAUAUUCAUAGAUGCCACCCACACUCAAAGGGUGGGUGUGGAUUAUACAGGGUUGUACAAGGAGAGUGUGAAAUUCAGGGGCCAUCUUCAAAUCCUGCCUGCCACACUGACUAUUUACUGGUUAUUAACAGGGAGAGAGGCAAAGAGGAAUGGAUUUGACUUGAACUGUGACUGCACUGAAGCAAAAUAUCAAUCUAAAUUAUGGUAUGCCCAGCUGUUGUCGCCCCCAAGUUUUCUUACAAAAAUGUGGUCUUUCAAUGGUGGUAAAACACAGUUUUAAAACUGGAUUUGCAAAAUCAUAAUUGAGGGGUGCCAUGAAUAUACAUGGGAGAGAAAAUAAGGCUUAUGGAUUCUAGAAUUAUCCUUUUUUUUUUUUUAGGAGGAUAACAUAUGUUGUUGUAUUAGGUCAUUCUUGCAUUGUUGUAAAGAAACACCUGAGACUGGGUAAUUUACAAGAAAAGAGGUUUAAUUGGUUCAUGAUUCUGCAGGGUAUACAAGUAGCAUAGCACCAGCAUUUGCUUGGGGUGGUGGCAAGUGUCUCACAUGGAGAGAGAGGGAGCAAGACAGAGACUGGGGGCAGGAAGUGCCAUGCACUUAACCAGAUCUCAUGAAAACUCACUCACCAUUGCAAGGACAGCACCA